GUGAGGAAUUUUCCGCAAUGGGCGAAAGCCUGACGGAGCAAUGCCGCGUGGAGGAAGACGGCCCGUGGGUUGUAAACUCCUUUUCUUAGAGAAGAACAACUGACGGUAUCUAAGGAAUAAGCAUUGGCUAACUCUGUGCCAGCAGCCGCGGUAAUACAGGGAAUGCAAGCGUUAUCCGGAUUCAUUGGGCGUAAAGGGUCCUGAGGUGGUCUGCUUAGUCUACUGUGAAAGCUCAGGGCUUAACCCUGACAAUGCGGUGGAAACUAGUAGGCUAGAAUACGGUAGGGGCAAGGGGAAUUCCCAGUGUAGCGGUGAAAUGCAUAGAUAUUGGGAAGAACACCAAAGGCGAAGGCACCUUGCUGGGCCGAUAUUGACACUGACAGACGAAAGCUAGGGGAGCGAAUGGGAUUAGAAACCCCGGUAGUCC
rnacentral:rRNA from 1 species